rnacentral:rRNA from 1 species
CUUUUUCGUCUCGCGAAUGCAUCCAGCAUUGUUUUAUGAUCCUGGCUCAGAGUGAACGCUGGCGUUAGCCUAACACAUGCAAGUCGAACGGCAGCACAGGAGAGCUUGCUCUCUGGGUGGCGAGUGGCGGACGGGUGGGGAAUACAUCGGAAUCUACUCUGUCGUGGGGGAUAACGUAGGGAAACUUACGCUAAUACCGCAUACGACCUACGGGUGAAAGCAGGGUGAUCUUCGGACCUUGCGCGAUUGAAUGAGCCGAUGUCGGAUUAGCUAGUUGGCGGGGUAAAGGCCCACCAAGGCGACGAUCCGUAGCUGGUCUGAGAGGAUGAUCAGCCACACUGGAACUGAGACACGGUCCAGACUCCUACGGGAGGCAGCAGUGGGGAAUAUUGGACAAUGGGCGCAAGCCUGAUCCAGCCAUACCGCGUGGGUGAAGAAGUGCCUUCGGGUUGUAAAGCCCUUUUGUUGGGAAAGAAAUCCAGCUGGCUAAUACCUGGUUGGGAUGACGGUACCCAAAGAAUAAGCACCGGCUAACUUCGUGCCAGCAGCCGCGGUAAUACGAAGGGUGCAAGCGUUACUCGGAAUUACUGGGCGUAAAGCGUGCGUAGUGGUCGGUUUAAGUCCGUUGUGAAAGCCCUGGGGCUCAACUGGGGAACUGCCGGUGGGUUACCUGGGGCGANCUAAGUGUUGUACCACGGUUGCGGAAUUCCCUGNUGNUUGCACUGAAAAUGCCGUUAAGAUCCCGGAGGGGCNCUCCCUGUGCAAGGGGUUCCCUGNGCAUCCNCGUGNCCUCUGUGGCCCAGAGCGUUGGGGCGCCGGUUUNUUUUCCCUCGUUUCUGCUCGCUCCU